UCCAUUCUCCCAGCUCCAUCGGCUGCCAACCUAGGGCCAUCGUCUGCCUCCAUCACCCCUCCGCCUGCCCGCCUACCCACCCAAUCCCAAACGGGUGCUGGAUCAGGUGCUGAAUCCGGCUGCCUCCUCGGGUACCAGUCACUGUGCAUUGCUGUGUGUCUGCCACCGCUGCCUGGCACUCAUGGGGCCGUGUGUGUAUGUGUGUGUGCGCGCCUGUACGUGUACGCAAGAGCGCGUGCUGUAUGUGAGCCUCCUGGGCAUGGGUGGGGGUUGGCAUUGCGGUUGCCAAUCUAGUGUCCAACCAGAAGGACAUUGGGAUGGAAUGGAAGAAGGAGGGGAGAGGCUUGGGGCCUGGGAGGGGAGAAGAGGUUGCAUGAGUUGCUUCAUGCUGCCUGCUUACUGGCAUUGGCAUUGCAGCUGCCACCCUUGUGCCCACGGAGAUGGGAGGAGGCGAGUGGAGAGGGCAGUGGCAGGAGUCCUGUGCUCUGGGAGGAAGGCUCCCUACAUGGGAGCUGUUGGCAUCCCAUCUGUCAGGCUGGUGCCCAGAACUGAGGCAGUGGAGACUGGGGGAUCCAGGAAGCAGAGAGGAGGGGCAGGACUGUGUUUCUGAUGUUGCUGUCCCUCUAGAAGCUCAGCUCUGAAAAAUGGUUGGAGUUUGAGGUGAUUCGUGCUCUUCCAGCUUGGGGAAGUAAAAUGGUGGAGAGAGUAGCCAGGGAAGCACCAAGAAACAGUCUACGAGCAGGGGAGGAGGGAGUGUGCCACCGCUACCCAGGGAGAACUUGUUGGGGCUGGCAACCUGGCCCUUUGUCAGAGCAUUGAAGGAGACAGCAAAGGGACCAGAUGUGAGGUGGGUGGGUGCUGGCACUGCCCAUGGCACCUGGCACAGGCUCUGGCAUUGUGUGGAACAGGGGAGUAUAACGGUGCCUCUUGCCAAUCUGGUUGAGAGGGCUGUUGUGCCAGGAGUGAGAAGGAAGGAGGUGAAACAUUUUGGGAGGCGGGGUGUUUGGGAGACCAGACUUUUUUUCUGCCAGGACCUCCUUCCCCUUCCCUCUUAGGCAUGGGGAGUGGAGCGACAGACAGAGGGUGUCAUGAGGACACAAAGGAGGAAGCACACCAUUGCCAAGACCCCGAGGAAGGAUGGAGAGCGCUGGCAGUCCUGCCUGGCCCCCAGCCAGUUCCCUGCUGAAGAUGGCCAAAUCCCCUUGCCUGGUAGCAUGGCCCAGGGCUUGAUUGAGGUGGAGCGGAAGUUCCUUCCAGGGCCUGGCACAGAGGAGCGGCUGCAGGAGUUGGGAGGCACCCUGGAGCACCGGGUCACCUUCCGAGAUACCUACUAUGACACCUCUGAGCUGAGCCUCAUGCGGGCGAACCACUGGCUGCGACAACGAGAGUAUAGUGGAUGGGAGCUCAAAUGUCCUGGAGCAGCAGGUGUCUUAGGACCCCACACUGAGUAUAAGGAAGUCACAGCGGAACCUGCAAUUGUGGCCCAGCUCUGUAAGGUGCUGGCGGCUGAGGACGUGGGGGCUGGAGGUGUGGCUGCUGUGCUGGGCCCACUGGGGCUGCAGGAAGUAGCUAGUUUUGUGACUAAGCGGAGUGCUUGGAAGCUGGUGCUCUUGGGAGCUGAUGAAGAGGAGCCACAGCUCAGGGUGGACUUGGAUACAGCCGACUUUGGCUACGCUGUGGGUGAGGUAGAGGCCCUGGUGCAUGAGGAGGCGGAAGUACCAGCUGCCCUAGAGAAGAUCCACAGGCUCAGCAGCAUGCUUGGUGUGCCAGCACAGGAGACAGCACCAUCCAAGCUGAUUGUGUACCUACAGCGUUUCCGGCCUCAAGACUAUCAGCGCCUGCUAGAAGUGAACAGCUCCAGAGAGAGGCUGCAGGGGACUGGACAUCCUGACAACAGCUUGGAUGAGCAAGGAGGGUUGGAAGCCAGCUUCAAUUAACAGUGGGUGGGAAGCUCUCACCCUGGAUGUGGAAGAACACAGGUAAGGAUGAGGCCCUCGUAUCUAGAAAAGGGCAUUUGGGAUCGGGCAGGGGUUUGGGUCCUACACUGCAGCACAGUGCUGGACGCACCUCAUGUGGUUGUACUUCUGGAAGAGUGUGUCAUACUCCACAGCCCGCUGCUGCAGCUCCAUAUCCAAGCAGCUCCUGUAGAUGGACACCACCUGGCGGAUGCGGCUGUGCCAGUGUAGUAUGUAAGUGGCAAUGGCGGUGUGCCACUGCAGGAUGUGGCAGGAAGGAAAGGCCCACGGAGCAGGGAAAUACCCAGAUUUGGCUCAAAAACAAGAACCUAAGGGCUAGGGUAGGGAGGGCUGGGUAUGUAUGCCUGAAAAGAAACUCAGAAAUGGGUGAGCCCAAUGAAAGGCCAUCUCUCAAGAGGCUGGGACCCCUUCUUACUUGUUGUCCCCACAGAGGCGGGUGCUGAGCUUCAUGAGGGCUGUGAGGGCAUAUCCUCGGGUGGCUGGCAGGGACAUAUGGGACUGCAGCACCUUUUCCAGCAAUGCCAGCACUUCCUCUUCUUCCACCUUCAGACAUGGAUAGUUAGUGACUCUGGUGUCCUGGGAUGACCCAGGCAAUUCCGUGCCUGCUACUCCGCUGCCCAGGACACUGACAGAGCUAGUGUCCUCUGGGAGAAGACCACUGGCCAUGGUCUUACUGCUAUGGCCUCUGUUCCAGGGAUACAGCAGUGAAAAGUCACCCCACCUGCAGAAAGGGGUCGCUGACUCCAGAUAUGCUGUGUUCUGUGGAGUAUCCCGUUGUCACCAGAGUCUGGAGGAUCUGUGCCAGCUGGGGUAUCACCUGGAGGGAGGGCAUUACUUUGGGCAUUCUUCCUAAUCCUCUCCAGCUACAGUCCCACUCCUUCCCCGCUGACCCUCUCUUCCAGGCCCAGGGCCUGCCCCUUCACCAGCCCACCUUUCGGAAGUGCCUGAGGGCUUCAGGGCUUCGUUCGCAGAGCUCUGUGAUCAGCGUGAUGGUGCCCAGCAGGAUGCCUGGGGUCAGGGUCGGAGAAGUGAACGGUGGGGGCCAGGGGCAAGAGAGUCUACUGCAUGUGUGCCUGUGUGUGUGUGCUACCCGUCUCCUAUAGGCUGGUGUCCCCAUCCAAUUUUCAAUUCUUUUGUCCAUAGAACUGAAGCAAAGGAUGGGGAGCCCCACAGCCUUACCAUGGUGGCGCUCGUGAAGCAGUUUGGCACAGGGUGGGAGGAAGAUGUUGGAGAGUUCAGGGACCUUCCGGAUCAUGUGCACGGCAGUCAGAAUAGCCUGCAGAGGUCAGGGCCCUCAGACAGGUCAGAGGGGAUGGACCCCUAUACCUCUACUAUAUGGCACACAGUGGGCAGUAUUUGGAGGAGCAAGUGCCAAGAGUCCCACCAUCUCACCUUCUUGCGCACGUAGGGGCUGGGUUGCAGAAGCAGUUUCUCCACCUCUGUGGCCAGGUCUCGGCACAUCUCAGCAGAGCCCAUGGUGCUCAAAGUGCACAGGGCCAGGCCUUGUACUGGCUGAAUCCCCUGGCUCAGGUCACUGCAGGGUUUGGGAGGACGGUCAGUCAGGCCUCUGAGAAAAUCAGUCCUUUUCAAUACCCACAACAGGCAGUCCCCUGGGAUUUUCAAGGUCCCCACUCUCCCAUCUCCCUGAUUCCAAGUGAUUGCCAGAAACCUCUCACUUCUUGAUGCUGUUGGUAAUGAGCAGGUGGGCAUCGUGCCUCUCAUCCAAUAGAAGCAUGGCCCCCAGGUAGCCCACCCUCUUGUCUGUGAAUCUGGAGGAGGCAAUCAGUUUCAGGCACUCCAUCUAUGGAGAAGGGGGCAGACCAGGAAGAGGCAGGGGUGAAACCAGAGACACUCACAUCCCUGUUCCAUCUUCCUCUUUAAAACCAGAUUAACCUGUGGGGCAUCAUAUCUCAUCACCCUCCCUUCAAAAAGAGGAGAAGCUUAGGAGAUUCAGGUGUUAGUGGGUAGGAGGAACUAGGAGCUGAGGAGGAUGGGAGGGGAGAGGAGUGGCGGAGGUGCCUGCCCUAAGCAAGGCUGGCCAGAGAAUGAAGGGCUCAGGCCAGAUGAUGACCAGUAGGGGUAGCAAUGGGGAAAGAGGUUUGCAGUGCAGGCUGUGAGACUCAAAAACUGUACAAUGAAUGAAAAAACAAACAAAAAACAGGGCUUAAGCAGGUGAGGGCGUCUGAGACUGCCCCUCUAGCCUUCAUCAAGCUCAGAAGGGAAGUAUUCCUGGCCGAUACCUGUCCAAAGUGGGCGGGGUAGCCCAACAUGUGGACGUAGAGCAGUUUGGCCAGCUGCCGGUGCCUGAGCAUUGGGUCCCCGUCGCGGAAGGAGGCCCGAAUGUGGGCGCACUCCUUUUGUAUCACCUCCCGCUCCUGGGCCUGAGUCCUGGCCCCGCGAAUCUCUUCGAUGAGGUCCUGAAGCUUCAGCGAUGGCACCACCAUCCUGACGAGCGAAGCCCGGGAGUGGAGAAACACUCUCUGGCCAGGUGUGCCUGGGCUUUCGGCCCAGGCCUAUCCUGUGUCAAGACCCUAAGAGCCCGGGUCCCACAGGUACCCUAAAAUUGCGCCCGCAUUUUACCUUUCCCCAAGUGGGUCUCCAAAUUCCGCGCCCACCCCCACCCCCCGAGAAGUCCAUUACGCAUGCGUCCCCACCCCAGCCGCGCACGUUCCUAUUGAGCAUGCGCCGGAGCCCCACCUAUCUCUCCCCGGUUUCCUCACCUACCUGGUACCCCAUCCCUAACUCAGCCGAUUGCUUUCUUUCUACGGCCCUCCGCUGUUUCUUCCGCGAGCUUCCUCCCCCCAUACCCAUCUCAGGCGGCAGCAGCGACAGCUUGCCUUCCCCAGGACGCCACCCUCACCUGGCUUCGGUCUCAACUCCGCUCCUCUGCCCCCCAGCGCUUCCUGGUACGGGGCCGAGCUGGGGUUGGUGCUCGGUGCGGUCCUUCCCUCUCCCCGCCUCCACCACGGGACCCCGCCCUUCUGGGCCGACUGCAGUCUUCCAGAAUCCUCUGACCUCGGGCCUCAGGCUUUAGAGUUAAGGGGAAGGAUCUCUUAUCGCAGAGGGGCGGGGAGACACCACGAUAGUCCUGGAGUUCUCCCAAGAGGCCUCCUUGCACGUCCUCACCACCCGGAGGGCCUCAGCUUGGAUUCGAAGCCAUCGCACCCAAAAGGAGAUGACAGUCCCCCCCCUUUUUUGAACUUUUUUAUUAAUAUAUUUUUUUUUUGUUAAA